rnacentral:tRNA from 1 species
CUCAGUGGUCUAGCGGUUAAGGGCUCUGGCUCGAGACUGGUAGGUCCUGGGUUCGAAUCUCGGAGGGGGGCG